UGGGGAAUUUUGGACAAUGGGCGAAAGCCUGAUCCAGCAAUGCCGCGUGUGUGAAGAAGGCCUUCGGGUUGUAAAGCACUUUUGUCCGGAAAGAAAUCCUUGGCUCUAAUACAGUCGGGGGAUGACGGUACCGGAAGAAUAAGCACCGGCUAACUACGUGCCAGCAGCCGCGGUAAUACGUAGGGUGCAAGCGUUAAUCGGAAUUACUGGGCGUAAAGCGUGCGCAGGCGGUUUGCUAAGACCGAUGUGAAAUCCCCGGGCUCAACCUGGGAACUGCAUUGGUGACUGGCAGGCUAGAGUAUGGCAGAGGGGGGUAGAAUUCCACGUGUAGCAGUGAAAUGCGUAGAGAUGUGGAGGAGUACCGAUGGCGAAGGCAGCCCCCUGGGCAAUACUGACGCUCAUGCACGAAAGCGUGGGGAGCAAACAGGAUUAGAUACCCUGGUAGUCCACGCCCUAAACGAUGUCAACUAGUUGUUGGGGAUUCAUUCCUUAGUAACGUAGCUAACGCGUGAAGUUGACCGCCUGGGGAGUACGGUCGCAAGAUUAAAACUCAAAUGGAAUUGACGGGGUCAUAGCUGUUUCCU
rnacentral:rRNA from 1 species